rnacentral:rRNA from 1 species
CUACGGGUUGCUGCAGUGAGGAAUUUUGCGCAAUGGGGGGAACCCUGACGCAGCAACGCCGCGUGAGUGAAGAAGGCCUUUGGGUCGUAAAGCUCUGUCAACAGGGAAGAAGUUAUUUCAUAUGAAUAGUGUGAGAUAUUGACGGUACCUGUGAAGGAAGCAUCGGCUAACUCCGUGCCAGCAGCCGCGGUAAUACGGGGGAUGCAAGCGUUAUUCGGAAUUAUUGGGCGUAAAGGGCACGCAGGCGGCCUUGUCAGUCAGAUGUGAAAGCCCGGGGCUCAACCCCGGACGUGCAUUUGAACAGCAAGGCUUGAGUACGGUAGAGGGAAGGGGAAUUCCUGGUGUAGAGGUGAAAUUCGUAGAUAUCAGGAGGAACACCGGUGGCGAAGGCGCCUUCCUGGGCCUGUACUGACGCUGAGGUGCGAAGGCGUGGGUAGCGAACAGGAUUAGAUACCCGAGUAGUC